rnacentral:misc_RNA from 1 species
AAAAGGUUGUUUGGCCGCUUCUGAUGGCUCAGGCUUACAUAUGUGAUUGUGACCAAUGAAUCAACUAUUGAAUAUAUGAGAUUGACGGAUGGAGGGCUCAGUGCGGAUGCAAUUUCCAGAUUUCAAAUUGCCAAUUGCGGAAAAAUUUGUUAUGGAUCUCUUUGGGCUAGCUCCUUUCUUUGUACAAAUAUCAAAUGACCUUACGAUGUAUCUUUGCUUGGGCAUGGAAAACAACUUGCCUGCAUCCUACAUGCCAAAGGCGAGUUUUGACG